rnacentral:rRNA from 1 species
AUUGAACGCUGGAGGCAGGCCUAACACAUGCAAGUCGAACGAGUGGCGGACGGGUGAGUAAUGUCUGGGAAACUGCCUGAUGGCGGGGGAUAACUACUGGAAACGGUAGCUAAUACCGCAUACCAUCGGAUGUGCCCAGAUGGGAUUCGCUAGGAGGUGGGGUAAAGGCUCACCUAGGCGCCGAUCCCUAGCUGGUUUGAGAGGAUGACCAGCAACACUGGAACUGAGACACGGUCCAGCAUACUACGGGAGGAAGCAGUGUUGAAUAUUGCACAAUGGGCGGAAGCCUGAUGCAGCCAUGCCGCGUGUAUUCAGAAGGCAUUCGGGUUGUAAAGUACUUGCAGCGGGGAGGCGUUACCCGCAGAAGAAGCACCGGCUAACUCCGUGCCAGCAGCCGCGGUAGUUC